GGGGAUAGCUCAGUGGGAGAGCAUGUGCUUAGCAUGCAUGAGGUCCUGGGUUCAAUCCCCAGCACCUCCA
rfam:Camelus ferus unplaced genomic scaffold scaffold2075, whole genome shotgun sequence.